GACGGAGGAUGCAAGCGUAUCGGAAUGAUUGGGCGUAAAGCGUCCGCAGGUGGCAGUUCAAGUCUGCUGUCAAAGACCGGGGCUUAACUUCGGAAAGGCAGUGGAAACUGAACAGCUAGAGUAUGGUAGGGGCAGAGGGAAUUCCUGGUGUAGCGGUGAAAUGCGUAGAGAUCAGGAAGAACAUCGGUGGCGAAGGCGCUCUGCUGGACCAUAACUGACACUCAGGGACGAAAAGCUAGGGGAGCGAAUGGG
rnacentral:rRNA from 1 species